AAAGAAAAUCAUUUUAAGAAAAAAUUGUACAACUGAAUGUGAAAAACUAAGCUAUAAAUCUUUUAGAAGACAAUACAGGAGAACCUAUUUUUCCACCUUCAUUAUGUGGAGACCCAUCUUAAUAAAACACCAAAGGCAUUAAACAAAAUAAAUUUGACUACAUUAAAAUUAAGAAUUUUUGUUAAUUAAAAAAACACCUUUAAGAGAGUGAAAAGGCAAGGCAUAAAGAGAGAGAGAGACUGAGACUUUGCAACAAAGGACUGACAUUUGAAACAUCUAGAGAACAUCUACACAUCAAUAAGAAAAAGACUCCUUGGAAACAAAUGGGCCAAAGACUUCGGAGAUAUACUCCACAAAUGAAGAAACUCAAAGGGCCAAUAAACAGAAGAAAGGGGGCUCUGAUAUUUGCAGCAAGAAAAGAAAUGCAAAUUAAAACCACAGUAGGGCACCAUUACAUAUACAAGCUCAUUGGCAAAAACUUAAGUCUGGAAAUACCAAGCGUGGGUGAGAAAGUGGAGCAGUUGGAACUCUCUACAAAGCUUCUGAGAGUGCAAACCAGCACUGCUGCUCUGGAAGGCAGCUCAGCAUCAUCUGCCAAGGUUGAGGGUGUGUAUCCCCUAUGGCACAGCAGUUCCUCCGUGACGUGUGUACUCACAGACACUUCCAUAUAUGUACACCAGCAUAACGUGUGCAAGAAUCUUCGGUGGCAUGUUUGACAUAACCCCAAUCCAGAACCCAAGUAUUUACUUUAUCUGUCUUCUCUAUGUCCCUCUAGAAACAUAAGGCAUAAAUCCUCAGGGGGAAAUUUAUAUUUCAUGCUCAGGGGUGC
rnacentral:lncRNA from 10 species